rnacentral:rRNA from 1 species
GAUGAACGCUGGCGGCGUGCCUAAUACAUGCAAGUCGAGCGAACAGACGAGGAGCUUGCUCCUCUGACGUUAGCGGCGGACGGGUGAGUAACACGUGGAUAACCUACCUAUAAGACUGGGAUAACUUCGGGAAACCGGAGCUAAUACCGGAUAAUAUAUUGAACCGCAUGGUUCAAUAGUGAAAGACGGUUUUGCUGUCACUUAUAGAUGGAUCCGCGCCGCAUUAGCUAGUUGGUAAGGUAACGGCUUACCAAGGCAACGAUGCGUAGCCGACCUGAGAGGGUGAUCGGCCACACUGGAACUGAGACACGGUCCAGACUCCUACGGGAGGCAGCAGUAGGGAAUCUUCCGCAAUGGGCGAAGGCUUGACGGAGCAACGCCGCGUGAGUGAUGAAGGUCUUCGGAUCGUAAAACUCUGUUAUUAGGGAAGAACAAAUGUGUAAGUAACUAUGCACGUCCUGACGGUACCUAAUCAGAAAGCCACGGCUAACUACGUG